rnacentral:tRNA from 1 species
GCCCUCAUAGCUCAAUUGGAUAGAGCACAAGCCUCCGGAGCUUGUUGUCCCCGUUCAAUUCGGGGUGAGGGCA